UCUCAACACUUAUCUGUGGACACCAUUUAAAUACCUUUUUGGAGAUGUUGCUGUGUUGCCCAGGGUGGAGUGCAGUCAUGAUCACGGCUCACUGCAGCCUCGAAUUACUGGCCUCAAGUGAUCCUCCCACCUUAGCCUCCCAAAGUGCUGGGAUUACAAGAUAUGAGCCACGCCUGAUGCCUGGCCACUGUGGGGCACCAUUUAUAGAGUGACUUGUGGCCCUGCAGUUAUGGGAAAUAAAGGAAAAGAAUGUCUUGCUAAAUCAACAAAGCUGCUGUAUCAUUGUUCAUUUGGCCAGGCAAUUCCUCAUGGACCAGUAAUAAGCUUCAGCUCGGCCAAACCCAUUUUUGAUAGCAAUCAAGAUGAUUUACCAUUUAAAGUAUUCAGCACUUCUAAGACCUGGUUGAGGAGUUCACAAACAGCAGGCAGAGCUGGGCAGAAGAGAUCAAGACAGACGGGACCUCAGCGAUCAUGGGUUCCAGCCUUUUCCUUUCACAGGUGAGGACACUGAGGCUGUCUGGGAGAAGGAACUUGCUGGAGGUCCCUGCGAGGGUGUCUGAGGUGAGGCUCAUCCCCGUGCUCUGUUCAUCAUUGCCGCCCGAGUCCCUUCUCAAAGCCCUUUGUGGGUGAUUCCUAUGCAAGGUGCAAUUGCCGGUGGGGCUUGAGCAGGUCCUUCCUUGGGAAACACGAGGAAGGGCUAAACAGGGAGAGAGAGAGGAUCCCACGCUUGGCAUCUGCAAGGUGGGAGGAGAAACGUGGAGAAAGCAAUUGCCAUGUGCCUUUGUCGCCGUGAGGCUCAAAAACCUGGACUCACCCGGCUAGGAAUUUCUCUCUUAAAAUAAAAUGGAUUUGCUUUGUGCUUUA